GGCCACAUUGUGUCUGGGGGGUGUGUACAGGGCCCCGCUGGUGCUCUGCUCCAGCUCUGCUCGCAGUUGCAGCUCUGCUGGGGACAAAUCUGCUCCUGCCAGGGCACAAGGCCCACCGUGCCCACCCGGCCAGGUGGCAGCUGCCGCCAUUUUGUUGAACUGCUGCUGGGGGAAGUGGCAGCCACCAAAAUGGUGGGUGUCUCUGGGACAUUUAUUUCUCCUCAGAGGGCUCUGGGACUUGCUGGUCUACUCCAAAAACAGGCUUACAGCUGCGGCUCAGUGGCAGCUGGCAGAGCUGAUUCGAGUACUGGAAUACCUUCCCUGCGUGCCUUUCUAUUGAAAAGCCAGCAGCCGCUGAGGCAGCACAUCUUUCGCAGAAGGGGCUGUUGGUGUAUGUACUGAGAGAUGGCGAUGAGUUGGCCAAGGCUGGAGCAAGCACUGCCGCUAGCUGGUGAGUUCCUGGAGCAGACCACGCUUAGCCUGAGCUCCAGCAAUCUGAACCUGCCAGGUAAGGUCAUGCUAGUGUGCCUCUGUGUGAGUGAGGGAUGGUAGUUCCCAACAAGCAUUUCAAAAAUAUUUGGCUCAAUUCUUCAGGGUUCUAGCUAUCUCACCCCAAAUUCCUCAAAGUCUUCCUACUCCUUUGUGACAUGUAGUUUAAAGCUAAAAAUAUUCAGAAGCACAAUGCAAUCCAGAAGGAUGUUAUUUUUAUUACUUUUUUUUUUUGCUAGGAAGGAAAAUGGUCAAGAAGUGGGUUAGGAACAAUAUGUUCCUUUUCAUUAUUAAACAGGUACUUCCCAGAGACCUUUUUUUUUUCCCUUCUCUCUGACCAGGUGUUGCUUGUAAGAUGGAUAAGAAAUACAUUCCAAAUAAAAAUGUAACCUUUAAACAAAAGGUAUUAACAGUAUUACAAUUUUUUUUGAAGUCAUUUAGAGUUUUUAAAAAGCCAUUUUGAAUGCCCAGCAUGUUAUUUGGCAACACACAGACUUCCAGUUGGUUUCUAUUUUCUUAGCAGUUGUAGUUGCUUUCUAACAGGAUUUUAUCCAAGUACUGUUUAUAUGUACAAAAACAUCUCCUGAUGUCAGACGUCUGAGCCUUAGGAAACCAGUGUCACUGCCUGGGACCUCAUUUGUUCUGUUCCCUGUUUUGUGUGAACACAAGCCCACCUAAAGGCAUAAACAGUGUUGUGAAAUAACUUCUCAUAUCUUUUCUUACAAGUCUAGCUUUUAGCAUCAUAGUUGAUUAAGCUUGACUAGUGUCUACUGACUGUUAAAACUGAGCCUCUGUUUAUAAAAAUGUCAACAUUUGCUUCCAAAUUUUUAUGUUUCUUAAACAAGCUGUGCUAUUCCUCUGUUAGCUUGAUUUCCCAGAUCUUUUCUUUAAAUUCUGUAAGCAUUGCCUGAUGGUACAUGCCAGCCCCUAUCAGUGCACAUCUCCAUGGGUAUGUAGAAACUCCACAAUGGGAGGUCUGAAGCGUUUGGUUUGUUUUUAAUGACUAUUCUGAACAUUCAGAAAAUGGAAUUUCUUGGGAAGUCAGCUUGAAGGAUAAGGUGGAGAUGGUAGCAGGGUGGACGCUGCUAAUCUCAGCUACUGACCUAGCUGUGCGACACGCGGCACACACAUUGCAGCAUGGAGAAAUUGAAGCUGUUUCUCUAAUAGCAGGUGAGAAUGUAGUGGUGUUUGUUUAAGAUACUUGGCUGUUUGUGGCUAACAUUCAUCUAAGGAGCAAGAAGAGUGAAAGGAGCUGUUUGUUCAUGAAAUCUGCCAGCAGAGGAAGGUGCUUGAUUGCAAUGAGUGGGAAGAGACGGCUUCGAGGAGCUUGAUCCUAGGCAGUGCUGUAAGUGUCCUUGCAGCACACCAGAAAGUCCAGAAAAGCCAACCCCCCGCGACCCCAAUAGUUCCAACACCCCAGUCAAACAUAAAGCCUGCAGCUCUACAUGGCUUUUACUGAUGACUAAUAGUGGAGAAAGGGUCCUUGCAGUGAAAUCUUGAUUUAUCUUCAUUGUCUUCUCACCAGCAAGCCUAUGUCAAAUGCAGGCUUUGAAGCUUAGGUUCACAACUUAUGUUGCAUUUCAUAGUUUCUGCUGGGGUUUCAUAGCCCACCUAUAAGCUGCAAAUUCCAUGAACAAAGUGUAUGAAUUUGCAACCACUUGCCUGCAAAGAGCAAACAGCUCUUGGACAUGAGAACUGUUAUUAAAAUGGGUUGUUUUGUUGGCAGAAGUGGCUUUCACUGUUACCAUAGGUUGCCCAAGGUGAGUCUGACCUCUGUGGUUUCUCUGAAGCUCUCUUGUGGGUGAGCUGAGCAACAUUGGAAUGCAGCUUUUAAGGAUUAGCUGAGCCCAACAAAUACAGGAAACUGUGCUGAGAAAGUAAUACUACAUUGCACAACAAAGGAAAAACCUUAUCUUCUGAUCCUGUAGGAUAAAAGUUCCAAGGCUGAGAACUUGACUACUUGGUAGGGCCAUACUCGGCUUGUAACUGCAGCAUAAUCACCUUUGCAGCCUUCUCUCAGGGCAAAAUUCUGCCUUUGCAGGUAUACGAAGGGGCAGUGGAGAGGUAGGUGUGUGGCCAACAGACAGAGCUGGGACUGUAUUCUCCUGCUGAGGAACAAUGAUGAGGACUCUUCCCAAGGAAUAAGGUAACAAAACAUGAACCCCACCAAACCUUUCUCGAUGAGAGCAGGCCUCCACAUGCCAGUUCUGACGGGGCCCAGGCUGUGGCCUUUGAAUUACGAGUCUUGAUGGAGUUGCUUGUGCCAAGUGUAUCACAAAAACACCACCUUGGUAUUAGCGUGCAACUGAACUAACGUGCAAGGGAUAUUCCUAAGAAACACCACUUGGCCCUCAGAGUGAAAUCCCAAUGUGCUAGCUGUACACUGUCAACUGAAUGUGUUCACAAGGCCUAUGGAUAAACGUGAGUUGAGGCUUCUGGAAAAGGAUGUAUUUAUUCCUUACUAAGCUUACUGCUCCUUUCUGCAAAGCUCUUAGCAACUUGACAUGUUACAAAUAUCUAUGCUUUAACUUUUAUGGAGCUUUCUCUCUCUGUCUGGGGAAGGUGAUGGGGUGGGCAGAACUGUUGAAGAAUCACCUGUGGUAAAUGAAGUUUUAUUAUGUUUGAUUAAGUGAGCAGUUUUUUGAGAUCAUUCUUGCAUCUUAAAUAAUUCACUUUUAAAAAAAAAGUGCUAUGGUGAGUGUUGGCUCCUCAUACUACAGCUAAAAAACAGUUUCCAUCACAGAUGGUGUAGGCAAAUCACAAAGAAUUUUUGCUUUUACUAGAAGGCCCAGCACAGGGCUGUACAAAUACAUGUCAUUGGCAAUGCUCUGGAGAACAUACAGAGCACGAUGACAAAGCACGAAUUACUUACAAACGCAGAAAUAUUUUGCGGUGUAGUUUUUGCCUACACCCAUUACAGGAUUCAAACCUAGACCGAAACAGAUUCUAGGUGCCCAGCUCCAACUGAUGAAUAAAAUCUGAGCUCGAUGCCAGGGAGGCUUCCAUGGUAGGGAGGGAUUGUCAACAUUUGUUUGACUAGUACAGACAAAGCCUGGUGUAUAAUUGAGGAAGACAAGACAUCAUGAUCAAACAUCAGCGAUCCUUAUCCUGCCCCUUAAAUUUAAUUCCAUAAUCAGCACUUAUAUCACGGAGAGGCUGUAGAUAUUACCCAGGCUUCUCCUUCAGCAUUGCACUAUCUAAAAUGAGUCUUGCCUGUAAGGAUCUGUUUUCUUCAAAACAAACUUUGAUCCUGCCCCUUGCUUAGCUUGACAAGCUGCCAGCAAAAUUCUGGAUUUUAGGAAUAGCUUAAGCUCAGCCCAUUCCUGCCUUCAAUCAUUUGGUUUUACAGUUAUCUGUGAUUCCUCAAAGUACUAUCAUACAGCAUCCAGCUGGCAUCCAUUUGAAUAUAGUUGUGCUGCUGAAGGGGAAAGAAAAAAAAGAUAACACCAUCAUUAAGCAGCCUAAUCUUGCAAAUUCAGCAAAAAUAAACUAUUGCGCGCCAUCUCGUGGCACUGCACAGCUAUUUCCUGGCAACACGCUGGAGCUCCAACCAUGACAGUGAGAUUUAAUGUUUGACAGGGUUGCUUAAAAAAAUGGCCGUCAGGGUUAGAAAGAGCCCAUUAUACGACCACACUAAAGCUUCAAAGCAUUCAUCAUCAUUAACGCUUUAUCCACACUUGCAUCUCGACUUUGUAUCCUUAGCAGCUGUCUCCUGGAGCCGCAGCAGAGCCUCAAGCUGCAGAAUGCACCUCUUUGACAUGUGCUUGUGGUUUCUCAAGCAGAGCCAUAGAGAUGCUCCGCACCCAAAAAAACAGCUGAAGCACUGAACACCACUGCAGCCUUUUGUGGAACAGGAAAAUCCUUCCAUCUUCCAGUAAGUCAUAUACACGUUAAUCAUUCUUAAUUAUAUGCAGGACUUAAGAGAUUCUUGGUAUGUCCACCUUCUUGUCUCCUGUCAGCACAGGAAGAACUCCGUAUGUUGAUGUUUAAAAUAAAGCUAGUGUGCUUAUUCAUAACUGUUCAUUAACAGCUGAAUGUAUGAACUGAUGGAAACAAGGUUAGACUAGCUGUCAGUCCCUUCAUGUAUCUUCAGUCUUUCUUCCUGCUUACUCUUCUAAAGGGGGAAAAAAGUCACUAAAGAUCCUUGACAUGAAGUGAUUAAGCCAUGAUUUCCCUAAAUCAAGCUAAGGAAAUCAAACUACAAGGAUAAAGUACAAUAUUAGGGGUUCUGGUCCUUACUUCUAAGUGACAUGUUUUUGAUUCGCACUUUUAAUUUAUUAGCUGGGAGAUUAGAGCUUAAAUUCUGCACCACUGAAUCAUCUCCAAGUUUGAAACUGUGUUGUCUUCAGCAGAACUGCCUUUCUUCCACCACUCACACCCAUCAAGUCGCUGGAUACAUUAAGGUGUCUUCUUGAUUGCGUUAAGUAACAGAAGUGCACGACUUCAGAUUAAGCAUUCUAUUUUUUUCUGCUAUUAGAGACAACUGCACAACUAUGAAAGUUUGCAGCUUGCAGUUGGAAAGCACAGAAACAUAUCAGCUAACCUCAGGUAUUACUCUAAAGGACAUUGUGCCAUCCUAUAAGAACAAUCAAAAAGGCAUCUGAUUACAAUCAGUAAUUACAAUCCUGGUAACAAUUGCUCUAAAUUUGGUACGUGACAAACCUAUUUCUACUGCUCUUGGGUUAAAGAAGGAAAAUAAUGAUGAGGACUGUAGCUGGGAAGGUUGUAAAUUUACAGGAAGGACUGCUAGACCUGUAAGGCUUUUUGAAGCUCAAUACCAACAGACUUUCUUUAUACACAGUAAAGGAAAGAGGGAAUAUCCUUAUUCUCAUUCCAAGGUUUAAUUCUGAGGUAUGUGAUACUGGAUUUACAAAAGUAAAUACAUUUCUGACAAGCAGCGAGCCCUGUACUUACCAAGGCAGAGAAGACUCCAAGCAGUUAAGAAAAUAAACUGCUCACAGUGUGAAAAAGUAAAGGUUUUGGGGUAUUUGACAGACCUUUAAAAGCAUAACAGCUGAUGAGGAAACAUGCAGUAGUGGGCCAAAAAAAAAAAAAAAAAAAAAGACAAA